rnacentral:lncRNA from 1 species
GGACAAAACCAGCCUUGAGUUCUGGGCACUUCAGGGGCAACCGACAAGAUGGCUGACCCUCGUCCUCAGAUCUCUGCAGAACUUUGACCAGUGGUGGUGGAGGAAUUCCGGCACUGCUAGCCUUGAAGCCUCCAGCCUGCUGGAUGCCUCCAUCCCCGGCUAUGCUGUGGCUCUCCUCAUUCUAGGCCUCCUGCUCGUCACAUUCACCCUUGUCCUGGUGCUAAAGUGGAGGGCCUCCCAUGGGGUGUUCAGCCUGGGUGUGUAGAAGCACACAGUGUGGUACAGAGGACCCUCUCCAGACAGGUGACCCCUCAUGCUGCUGCUCCCUCUGCUGAAACCCAAACUGCAAACCUCUCCUCUCCCUGCCUUCACCUUGCCCCACGGCUUCCACAGACAGUGCCUCAACCCCGAGGAAUGAAUCCGAAGUUCCAACACCACUGACUUUCCCAGGAACUCAGAGCCAGAGAGGGCCAAGGACCAGCUCGAGGACACACAGCCAGGGCUUCUUCCCUCCGAAACCCCCAAGGACUGGACUUGCAGGGCUGGGACAGAGGUGGGGUGGGGGAAAGCAAUGCCUUGUCAACCCACGUGGGGAGCCCCACUCCCAUCCCCAAGGUGCAUAAAGUUGAGGAACACCCCUGCUCCCACGUCCAUGCUCAUUCAGGGCCCUGCUCCAA